AGAACCUACGUAAGAAGUCUUCAUCAUCUGCGGGACUGAAGAGCAGCAUAUUCUCGCAAGCAAACUUAAAUACCUACUUAGGAAUCACUUCCUCCAUGUGAUUGGCUGCCCUGAUGAAUGUCCUGGAGUGCUAAAGACACCACUGAAAUCAAGAUAAUUGCCUUGCACUUUAUGACUGCUUGAAAGUUGAAAUUGGGAAAACUGAAAGCUAGACUUGUGAUUUAACGGAAAUCAAGAUCUUUUGGUUUUCUGUGAUAAACAUAUCUCAAACCUUGGAGGAAUUCUCAUUUUGGUUGAAGAAAUGAAACUACUAAG
rnacentral:lncRNA from 1 species